GACGAACGCUGGCGGCGUGCUUAACACAUGCAAGUCGAACGGUGAAGGGACCAGCUUGCUGGUUCUGGAUGAGUGGCGAACGGGUAAGUAACACGUGAGUAACCUGCCCCCUUCUUCUGGAUAACCGCAUGAAAGUGUGGCUAAUACGGGAUAUUCUGGGUCUGUCGCAUGGCGGGCCCGGGAAAGAUAUUGCUUCGGUGGGGGAUGGGCUCGCGGCCUAUCAGCUUGUUGGUGGGGUGAUGGCCUACCAAGGCGGUGACGGGUAGCCGGCCUGAGAGGGUGGACGGUCACACUGGGACUGAGACACGGCCCAGACUCCUACGGGAGGCAGCAGUGGGGAAUAUUGCACAAUGGGCGCAAGCCUGAUGCAGCGACGCCGCGUGAGGGACGGAGGCCUUCGGGUUGUAAACCUCUUUCGCCAGUGAAGCAGGCCUGCUCCGUGUGGGUGGGUUGACGGUAGCUGGAUAAGAAGCGCCGGCUAACUACGUG
rnacentral:rRNA from 1 species